rnacentral:rRNA from 1 species
UACAGAGGGGGCAAGCGUUAUUCGGAAUUAUUGGGCGUAAAGGGCGCGUAGGCGGCCUGGCGAGUGGAAGGUGAAAUCCCUCGGCUUAACCGAGGAACUGCCCUCCAAACUGCUUGGCUUGAGUCCGGGAGAGGUGAGUGGAAUUCCCAGUGUAGCGGUGAAAUGCGUAGAUAUUGGGAGGAACACCAGUGGCGAAGGCGGCUCACUGGACCGGAACUGACACUGAGGCGCGAAAGCGUGGGGAGCAAACGGG